rnacentral:rRNA from 1 species
AGCGAGAACCGGUCCUUCGGGGCCGGGGACAGCGGCGAACGGGUGAGUAACACGUGGGUAAUCUGCCCUCGGCACCGGGAUAGCCCGGGGAAACCCGGAUUAAUACCGGAUGGCCUUUCGAAUCUUCGGGUUCGAAUGAAAAGGUAGCUUCGGCCUCCGGCCGAGGAUGAGCCCGCGGCCGAUUAGCUUGUUGGUGAGGUAACGGCUCACCAAGGCUCCGAUCGGUAGCUGGUCUGAGAGGACGAUCAGCCACACUGGGACUGAGACACGGCCCAGACUCCUACGGGAGGCAGCAGUGGGGAAUCUUGCGCAAUGGGCGAAAGCCUGACGCAGCGACGCCGUGUGCGGGAAGAAGGCCUUCGGGUUGUAAACCGCUCUCAGGAGGGACGAAGCCACUCGGGUUAAUAGCCCAGAGGGUGACGGUACUUCCAGAAGAAGCCCCGGCUAACUACGUGCCAGCAGCCGCGGUAAUACGUAGGGGGCUAGCGUUG